GCCCCCAGCUCUUUUUUUGGCGUGAUUUUUCUGGUUCGUUUCUACUGAAGCGGCGGUCGGACACUGCAGGGAACUUUGCAGUUGUUUGGAAUUGUUGAAGGGAUGUUGCGUGGCCGGGGAAAGAUGCGUGGUCUCCGUCUUGAUUUCUUGACCAAUCCCGUGGAUGGAUUUCUCCGACACCUCGUUCCCCCCAUUCAAGGAUAGCCGAGGCCUGGCCUCAGGCCGGGCCGUGGGAUUUACCAAACCACCCAAAGAUUCCAGAGAAUGUAGACAAAAUGCCUUUGCGGGGAGGAAGCAGAUUGUUGGCAUUUCCUGCGCUCUCCCCCCCCCCCCCCCCCCGAAUCAUCCUGAUGUGCAUACGGAGAUAUUUUUGAUGCUGAAGAUGGAUUAUUCUCUCAUCGCCACUGGAAUAGGUGUCCUAGUGAAAUUUCGCCAUGGAAAUAAAAUGGCCAUCAGUAAUAUGAAAACAAGACCAUCCCCCUGCAAAAAAUGCUUUCCCAUGGAGUUCACAUACAUUGCACAGGGCUCUUGUAUAGAAAGAAGGCAGCCAUGAUCAUAUGAGGUAAGAAGGGAUGGGACCCAAACAAACCAAGAAUGUUGAAGCUAAGAUUUCAUCACAAUCUGCGGUGCCAAUCUAGGUUUGUCAAAGAAACCUUAGUUAAAAUAAACCAUGGUUCCACAUGAUAUCUGAACCCACCCAAUAAUAUG